CACGUAGGCGGAUGUGUCAGUCAGGGGUGAAAUCCCGGAGCUCAACUUCGGAACUGCCUUUGAUACAGCACGUCUUGAGUCCGAUAGAGGUGGGUGGAAUUCCUAGUGUAGAGGUGAAAUUCGUAGAUAUUAGGAAGAACACCGGUGGCGAAGGCGGCCCACUGGAUCGGUACUGACGCUGAGGUGCGAAAGCGUGGGAGCAAACA
rnacentral:rRNA from 1 species